CCUAAUUUCAUAACUGACCAGAGUGAGAACUAUCCCAGCUUUUCUAUGUAGCUGUAAGAUCUACUCCAUCCAGGCAACCCAGACAAGAUUGAAGGCCUCUUUGAAUUCGUGUCUCCCUGGCUACAGUUUAAUUAAACCUCGAUAAACACUUACAUUUUGCUUCGUCCAGGUCUUGUUCUCUCUGGGAUGGCAUUACUGUUCCUGGUACUGAGCUCCUAAGAUCUUCGGUGAUAUUGUCUAAGAGAUAAAGUUGCCUUUUGUAAUUCAUAACAACUCCCUUUCAACCACACCUAAGAUUUCAUCUGUGAUUAUUCCCAAGUGUGACUAUAUUUGGAGAUGGUGCCUCUAAAGAAAUACUUAAAAUUAAAUGAGGCCAUAAGGGUGGUGUCCUGAUCCUACAGAAUUAAUGUCCUUGUAAGAAGAGACACGAGAGAGGCAUCUCUUUUUUUAUCCAAAUAUGCAUGAAGAAGUGAUCAGAUGAGCAUCCAGAGAGAUGGUGACCACAAAUAGCUGUCUAGAGAAAAGGCUUCAAAGUGAAACACCCAUUAUCUGCACCUAAAUCUUGGACUUCCUCAACUCCACAACUGUGAGAAAUGAAAUGAAAGAGGGAAAUCUAAAUUCUCUAUUGCUGCACUAUAGUCAGCUGCGCUGUUGUUCAGAAGCAGAAUUUUACUUCAGCCUACGUCUGAUAUACUUGAAAUCUUUUGUUUAUCCUUCUAAGAUGCAGGCGAGAGCAACAUCAAGCUAGAGUUAAUGAUGCCACUUGUCAGACAAAUAUUUAUGACAAAAGGAAUAAAUGAAGAGAAAAUCAGUAAAUAUUAUGUCUUUUGGAGAAAUGUCUCCUGGUA